CACGUAGGGCGCAAGCGUUGUCCGGAAUUAUUGGGCGUAAAGAGCUCGUAGGCGGUCUGUUGCGUCCGCUGUGAAAACUCGGGGCUUAACCCCGAGCCUGCAGUGGAUACGGGCAGACUAGAGGUAGGUAGGGGAGAAUGGAAUUCCCGGUGUAGCGGUGAAAUGCGCAGAUAUCGGGAGGAACACCAACGGCGAAGGCAGUCUUCUGGGCCAGUAUUGACGCUGAGGAGCGAAAGCGUGGGUAGCAAACAGG
rnacentral:rRNA from 1 species